rnacentral:lncRNA from 1 species
CAUUUCUCCACGCAAUCCCCAUUUUGUGUAGACUCCUCUUAUUUUCUCUUUUGUAUCUCUUUCUCUCCCAUGACUUUCCCUGCACUAAUUUCGCCAAAAAAAUUGAAAUUGUUGCCGCCUUCCGCGAACAUUAACCAGCGAAGAAGAACGAAACCACACAAGUUCUCUCUACAAAGGUAAAUUCGUCGCUGUGUUGUCAAAUUUUACUUAUUUUUUCCUCUCUUCGUUUGUUACACUGUCUGCAGAGGAAUAACUAAUACUUCCCUUUUUUUUCAUUUAUUUUCUGGUUUUGAGUUUGUUGAAUUGGGUGAUCUAGGAAACAAUGGGAACUAAUUGUAAUUUGGGUGUAGUUUUGUGAAGUGUUGAUGACUGAAUUAUCCAUUUAUUCAAUGAUUCAAAAGUGACACACUGUAAGUGUUAUGCCCUAAGUCCAAUCAAUAUUGGAUAUAAAUACUUUUGAUAUAUAAUUAAUGCAAUUUAAUGACAGAUCUAUUAUUUAAUUAAUAAACAAUUAAAUUAAAUAAUAGAGUCUGUAAAUUCAAAUUUUCGUAAUUUGUUAAUCACAAGGAGUUAUGAUUUUGAAAUACAAAUUACAUAUGAUUGAAUUUUAAAUCGUCCUUGGUCGUAAGUAAUAACGAGAUACAGAUAUCGUUAUUACUGAUAGACCAUCACGUGUGACAUUUCUUAUAUGUGAAGUAAGUAGCUGAUCUCACAAGCUAAAGUGUGGUGACAUUUAAAUGAACACGUUGAUAUUUUGUUAUAGAACAAAAUAUUGGAGACCCGUCGAGAGAUUCUAUAUGGAUAACUAUUUGAGUGUCAGUGGUUAAUUUCUACUGUUCGGUAGUGAAAUUGGUCCUUUGAUUUGAGGUUGUCAUGGUACCUUAUAUGAGGGCAGUCAUACUUUGACGGUGUUGGAUGUUGCUCUGCAAAGGGCCACUAAUACGACAUCAUUCGGAUACGUCAAGAAUCGUAGGAAAGUUGUGAUUGACCAAUAAAGUACAAUAAUUUAUUUUUAGCUUAUCUAUCAUAUUAAUUGACAAAUGGGAGUAAAAAAUCAACGGGGGAGAAAACUAGCAUCGUUGAUGGAUGUAAUUAAAGAUAAACUCAGAGACGAAGGGAGAGGGGGGCUGGGGUGGGCUAUAGCUGGCUGGCGUGGGCUGUAGCCCAGCCCCAGCCCAAUAGCUAAUUGACUUGUAAAAAAUGGAAAAUUUAGUCCAAAUUAUUGGUGAAAUAAAGAAGAAUAAAAAUUUAGCCCAAUCCAUAAAUUAAUUUUUAGCACAAUUAACUUUAUUCCCAACCCAAAUCCAAUGUUCAAUUAUUUAAAUUUAAAUAGUUCAUUUAUAAUCAAAUUAAUUUAUUAUAUUAGAAAUAAUUUUUAUUGAUUAAAGUAAAGAUAAAUAACUUAUUGUAGCAUGUCACAUGUUUGACUAAGUUUAAAAGUAAUUAAUUUUUUCUAACGUAUAUAUUGCUUAUUUAUACUUGUGAGUUAAAAAUUUAUUUAUUUUGACCAUGAAAUGGAAAUAUGCUUUAUAUUUACUUUUAUCAUUUAAAAAUAUAUUUGUUAGAAUUUUGUCAUAAAUGUUUAAAAAUAUAUCUUGAUCCAUUUUGUCAUUAGCGUGAAGAGUGUAACCUUUUAAACUAAGUCUCGAGUAGCAAAGAGCAUUUAUGAAAAAAAUUCAAUUUUCAGCCCACCCUAACAUAUCUUCCUGGCUCCGCCCUUGGAUAAACUUCAACAAGUUGAGCAGUUUUCUUGGAAGUUUCUUUCUUCAUGCACCAGAAUUUUUUAUUUAUCUAAAUUUCUGGCACCGGAUUGGUAUAUCAUUAUUAAUUUGUUUGUGGGGAAUCUGGGAUAAAACAAAGACAUCGUGUAAUUAAACAAUAAUCAUAGGAACAAAGAAAUAGUUUCACUUUCAUUCACGAAAUUGAAUGUUCUCGAAUCGUUUUGAGCCAUUUGGGGAAAAAAAAACGAAAUUGAACAAAGAGAAGGCCAAAAAGGACUAAAGGAGUGGUUUGUUAGUGUCUUUCUAAAUAACGGUUGGAGAAAAAAUGGAACAUUUAUUGGUUGGUUGAACUUCGAAUUUAUUUAUUUAUUUAUUUUUAUUCUUUCUUUUAGCUUUCAUCACAAAAUUAUGUUAUCGUUAGAACGAUUUUUGAAUGGGCAAUUAUGAUUGGUUACUUAUAUUGACUUAAUAGUGGAGUGAAAGAUAUGAUCGAUAAUCGAGAUUGACACAUUUUCAUAUCUCGUAAUUGAUCGGAUCGUAUUGACGAAGGGAUUAUAAUUUCACGGUAAACGAACGAAUUUGGUUUUGUCAUACCACGUGACAUUUCUCGUCAUAUGUAUUGCCCUGACACAUUGCUUGAUGUCAAUUUGAGACGGCGAGUGUAAAUUAGUGAUAAAUUAAAAGGGUGUUUUAAUUUAUCAAUUUUGAUUAGAUCAAAAUAAUAUUCCACGUCAUUAGGCAUAGUGAUCGGAAACCUGAUAGGUUGCACACAAAAAGAGAAUUUAAAGAUUGUAAUUUAUCAAUUAAUUAGUUUAACAAGCGUUGAAUAAAUUAAUUAAUUGGGUUGCAUAUUUAUAGGUCCGAAUUAAUUAAUUGGAUUAAUUAGUUCACGGAUCGGAUUUAAUUAAAUGUUGGAUCGGAUUAGGCCAAGCCCGUUCGGGCUUAUAUAAAUAUAAUUAGGAUUUUCAAAAUUGUAGAGAUUUUCAUUAUUCUUGCUAGUACAAGAAGAAAACCCUAAUGCUGCAAUCUUGUUCUCUGUGUGGAUCACCAUUGGAGGUUGGACAAUUGAACAGCUGUAGGAGACAGAUCCAAGUUGUUGGAACAAAGAUAUGGCAAAGGAGUUUGCAGAUCUUGUAAAGGUAUAUCUUUAUCACAAUUUCUAUCUAAAUACAAAGACGAUUCUUGAUGGGAAUCGAAAUUUGUUUUAAUUUUUCGUUGCGCAUGUUAAGUAGAUUCCCAACAAUGGUAUCAGAGCCUACUUUGUGUUUGUUAGAAAUUGAUUAACAUCUUUGUACAACCAAAUGUUGAUUGUUAUGUUUUUUUCUAAUUUCUAGUAAUUAAAUGAAUUUAAUUCUCAUGUUUUGAAAUCUGAUUUCGAGAAAAAAAAUGUUGGAUCCAAGGUGGGCGAUGGUUACCGGCAGGCGCUGUUUCGCGUUGGCAGCCGCAGGCGCAACAGCGCCUGCAAGCGCUACCAACAGCGACUAUGAGUUGCAUCAGCAGCGCGAAGGUGCUGUUGGUUGCAACAUGACCCAUCGCUUGUCUUGCUAUCCCGUGGGGCGGCGCCUUACCGAGAAAGAAAUUAAAAAAAUAUAUAAAUUCUAGGGUUUUCAGAUUUGGGUGAUGGAGACGGGGGCUUCCCUUGAAAUUUAUGAAAUUAUGGGGACCCGUCUGCAAUUAAAGGAAAAGGGGUCAAUUUGCAAUUUUAAAUGGAGAGCAUUUCUGCAAUUUACGAAUAUGGAAGCCCCUAUUAUUAAUUUUUCCAAUUAGGUCAAAUUUACAAUUUUCAAAAAGUGUUUUGAAUUUGAUUUCAAAAUUAUAUUUUAAAUGGGUUUGACCCAUAAUUUUAAUUUUGACCCAGAUUUAAAAUUUUAUUUAAAGUUGACGAACUUUUAUAUUUUCGUUAAAAUUGAAUUUUAACUUAAAUAUUAAAAUUUGACCCCAAUUGAAUUUUAUUUUAUUUAAGAGUGUUAUCAUAGUUUAAAAUAUUGAUUCAAUUUAAAUUAGAAUUGGACUCUAAUUUAGGACUUAAUCAAAAUUCGAUUUUAAUUAAUUUUUCACCCGAAGAUAUUUUAGAAAUUAGAAUUGGAUUCUAAUUUGACGUUUAAUUAAAAUUUGAUUUUAGUUAAAUUGUUUCGCCCUAAACUUUUCUUUAAAUUAGAGUUAGACUCUAAUUUGGUGUUUAAUUAAAAUUUGAUUUUAAUUAAACAGGUUCGCCCUAAAAAUCUUAGAAUUAGAGUUGAACUCUAAUUUGGUAUUUAAUUGAAAUAUGAUUCUGAUUAAAUAAAUUCGCCUUUAAAUUUUAGAAUUAGAGUUAGACUCUAAUUUUGUUAUUUAAUUAAAAUUGGAUUUUUAUUGAAUAUAGCCGCUUAUUUAUUAAUUGAUUAAUAUGAUUAAUUAUUUAUUUAAUUAUUACGAUCCAUUUGUCAAAAAGAGUUUAGGCGAUUUUAAUUGCUAGAAACUUGAAACGUGUUAGCAUAUAAUAUUAGAUAUUACAUAUGCAUACAUUUAUGUGAUGAAUGUAUUAUUAGUGGACGAUUAUGGACUCGACCAUAUGGAUGUGUUGAAUGGUUAAUUUUUAUAUUUGUCAUUUUGUGGGAUUGCGAGCUCUUAAUUAAUUUUGGGUCUGCAAACCCGUUAUUAUUGUUAUUAUUAUGAGUCUGCGAGCUCUUAAUCAUUUUGGACCUGCGAGUCCGUUAUUGUUAUUGUUGCUAUGGGCUUGCGAGUCCAAUUUCAUUUAGGCUGCGUGCCAACUAGUAUAAGAUACAAGUUGCAACUAGACCAAUUGAAGAAACAAGAAGAGGAGGAGGCCAUGGAGAUGGUUCAUUGAUAUUGAUCAAUGUAAUACCCCUAGGAAUUGGCCAAUUAGUCUUCCUUAUGACUCAGGAAGACUAGAUAGUAAAAUCUAUAAUCGUCCACACUAUUACAUUAUAUUAUAUAUAUGUUUAUUUGCAUGGUAGAUAUGUAAUAUAACAUAUAUGAUUGUUACGAUGAGACUUUUGAAUGCAAAACCUCUCAAUAAAAUAUUAAGUCACAUUUAUAAUUGCCUUCUAUUGUUAUAGUGAAAAAUCAGAGUCCCAAAUCGUCUCAACUUGUUGAGUACACUCAAGGCUGGUCUAUUAGGGAUAUGUUUGACGCUAUGAAAUAUUGGAUAUUUCUGAAUGAUGGGUUCGACUUAAAUAAAAUUUAUCUUUUGUCGAGUACAUUCAAGAAGAUAAAUUUUAGAGGCAUAUUAAGCUAACACAUAAGAUGUGUAAUGACAAAGAGUUGUCAGCUUAACGAUUUGGAAGUUGUAUGGAGAUGCAAUUGAUAAUAGUAUCUAUCCAAAUGUUUUAUUAAGGUUUGUUGAGUACACUCAAAAUCUUGAUAUAACAGAUGGGAUCCCGGCCCACUGGGAGUCAAGUAUGGACUCCAUAAAUUUAUGUGAAGGGGUCAUAAAUUUGAAUUAAAUAGUGGGAGCAUAAUUAAUUUAAUAAAAGUUCGUGUUAAAUUAAUUGAUACAUUUAUAUAUUAUUUUUUCCCUUUUUCGUCAUUUAUACUUAUUGAAUCGUAAGUAACCAUAUGUAUUUGAGAGGCAUACUGGAUGCCAACAACCAAAUUAAAUAUUUUUAAUCGGCACUGCAAUUUGAGAAUUGUUCUCAGGCAUGAGAAAGUUGAUUGUCCUUAAGUAGUCACUUUCCAGAAACACCUAGUGAUGACUCAACUAAGGAAAAUGUGGCUACUAUAAUAAGCACAGUGAUGAGAUAGUAUUGCACGCAUGUGAUGCCUGCAAUUAUGUCACCUGAGUUACAAAAACAACUUGAGAGUAUAGAUGUUAACACAUAAUUCUUCAUUACAAAGAAUUGUAUGAUAAUAAUCAUGUGUGGAAGGAUAUAAGACUUCCAAACAACUAUACCGAUACAAAGUAACAAAAGAAUUUUCAGUCAAUCCUCAUGUACUGAAGAUGAUUGACAUGAGAAGUGUCUCAAUUGAGUUCAAUCAUUAACUAUGAACUAAGUAUUAACUUAGCUUUACAAUCUCGAUCAUAGAGUUAUUCAUACUAAUUAUGAAUUAUGAUAUGAAUAAACUCGAAUGCAUACUCAUUAAGUUGCUUGACAUGUUUAGGACUAUUGAGCCCGAUAUCAAAGUUGGUAGUGGGCAAACCAUUGAUUUCUCUAGGGGUGUUAAGAUGAAAUCUAAAGGGGCUUUGAAAAAGCAUCCAUUAUGGUUAAAACAGCCUAAGUGAAGGACAAUAUCAAAUCUAAUGACCUUUGAUUUCAUUAUAGAAUGAAAGGUCAUUGGAAGAUAUUGCAUGGCUUACGUCUACUUCACGAGCUUCUUAAGUAUUUGAUACCAGAUGUAGAUCUCAUAUUUAUACAAAUAUGGAGAAACUAAAUAGAAGUAGACCAUUUUGAAAGGGAGAAGUUGACCUACACGUUGAAAAUGAGCAAAGGUUGUUGCAUUGCCUAUAGGAGCAUACCUCUUACCAUUGCCUUUUGGUUUAGUAUUGGAAUUAGAAAAAUAUUGCUUUGUACCUACCAUAGCUGAAACAUUAAAAUGAAUUUCAUGUUCGGACAUGAACUAUUUUAAUGUUAAAGACAAUUGUUGUUCUUGUUUAUCUUAAUAAAGAUUCUAAUGGUUAUGGUAAAUUACAAAACGACAUUUAUAUUCUUUAAUAUUAAGGAUUCUAUAACAAGUAUAGAAAUUAUAAGGUAUAAAUGCGAUAAUCUAAUAAUUACCUAAAUCUGGCAUGGCAGACUUUGUCAUAUAGAUGAAAUGCAAUAUUACAUAGAGAUAUGUAUGUGGGGUCAAUUGAUUUUUGAAUCAUUUGACAAGUGCAUAUCAUGCCUAUUAGACACAAUGACCAAAUCUCCUUUUAUUUGAAAGGGAGAAAUGUCUGCAUAAAUAUUUGCAUAAUACAUAGUGAUGUAUAUGGACCUAUAUCAAUUAAUGUCAGAUGAGAUUUCUCUUAUGUCAUCAAUUAUCAUGUAUACUUGAUGAAAUUCAAGCAUGAAGUUCUUGAAAUGUUCAAAGGAUUCAAGCUAGAAGUAGAGAAAUAUAGAGGUAAAGAUACCCUCACAUUAAGAUUCGAUCAAAGUGAGAGUAUUUUAAAGAUAAAAUUUAGAUUAUCUAAGAGAGAAUGAGAUUCUCUUGCAGUGAACUCCUCCAUAUACACUGCAGCAUAGUAAUGUAUCUAAAAAGAGAAAUCGUUAUCUAUUAGAUAUAGUGCGAUUAAUAAAAAGUCAUGCAAAUCUCCCAAAAUCGUUUUUGAGGUCAUGCACUGAUUGCAAUGUAUUACACACUAAAUCAUGUUAUAUCUAAGUUGGUUAACACAAUUCCAUACGAUCUAUGGAAAGGCAAUAGUCCCAAUUUAUCACAUAUGAAAGUUUGGGACUAUGACGCUUAUUUGAAGCACAUUGAAUCGAAUAAGUUUGAGACUUUAGAACCGAACCGAACCAAAAUUUUCGAGUAUCUAGUAAAUGGAACCGUCGGGUCCAAAUAUAAUUAUGGAACCGUUCGGGUUCGGUUCGGUUCGGUUCGGUUCUGUACUAUAAUUAAAUUUUUUAACAUUUAUAACAACAUUAUAUAAAUACAACUAAUGAUACAUUCAAUGGUUUUGGAAUGCCAGAGACUAAUAGACUAUCUUAUUCAAAUGAUCGCUAUAAUCAAAGUUUCGAUCGACGGAGGUCACAGCUUCGAUUGGAGGUCACAAUGUCGGUCGACGAUUGUAUAUGUUUUGGAAUAUUAGCGAGACUGCGAGAGUCGAGACAACGUUAUACACUUUAGUGUAGGUGUUUAGUGUUAUUUAGUGGAUUGGAUCUUGUUGGGCUAAGAAAUGAAACAAUAAAAUGGGUAAUUGGGCCAAAAAUUUGGAUUUAGAAAUUGUUAAUUUGUUUAGAAAAAGUUAAAAUUAAAAUAAUUUGAUUUACUCAAAUAAAAAAAAAUUAGAAAGAUUUGGUUCUUAUUCAGUUCUUCGGUUCUUGGUCUAGAACUGAGAAUCGAACCGUACCCGUCGGUUCUCAAUUCAAAUCCCCGUUCGGGUAUUUAAUUUAACAAGAACCGUCGGGUUCGGUUCAGUUCGGUUCGGGUUCGGUUCGAUUCGGGAGAUUUGCCCAACCCUAACAGUGGGAGCAAAAUAGAACUUGAAAGAGUUUAAGAGUCUACAAAUAUAGUUAACCAAGUAGAUGAAUUCAAGUUUAAUCCCAUGUCUGAUGUGGAACAUACUCUUGAUCAGGAAGUAAAAACUCCUGAGGACAUGUUAGCUCUAUGUGGGAUCAUUCGACGUUCAAGAAGGUGUGAAUCCAUGAUUAUUAAUCAGGUAUUACUGAUCCAGGAUGAUGAACCUACUAGUUACACAAAAAUAAAGUCACGUGUUGACUUAAAAGAGACAGCAAGAGGCCAUGAAACUCAAGAUAAACUCGGCGUAUGUGAACAAGGUUUGGACCUUGGUCGACCCUUCUGAUGGGAUAAAACCCAUAGGUUAUAAAUGGUUUAUAAGGAAAAGGUCGAGAUGAAUGGGGAUAUCCGUACAUACAAAGCAAGGCUAAAAGGUUAAGUGUUGACAUUGACGAAACCUUUCGCCUGUAGCCAUGCCAAAGUUCAUUCGAAUUUUGAUUGCAUUAGUUGCAUGCCGUGACUAUGGGUUAAAACAAGUCUCUUGGAACUGAAAUUUUCGAUUCGAUGAAAAAAUUAAAAUGUUUGAUUUUAUCAAAUAUGAAGACGAAUUGUGUGUUUACAAGAAGAUAGUGGGAGCGUUGUCGCAUUCCUAAUAUUAUAGGAAACAUCAUCCUUAUAUUUCAAUCGUUAAAAUAAUGGUUGUUAAAUGAUUUAUUCAUUAAAAUAUGGGACAAGCAACUUGAUCUAUAGAGAUAGAUAUAGAAGAUUGCUUAACUCAUCCCAAUCCACAUAGAUAAAAUCUUUAGAAGAGUUUAUAUGGGGAAAUUGGUUUGCUCUUAAGCGGUAUGUUGGAAAAGUUCCAAACGUGAAACAAUCGUUGGUUCAAUAGUAGAAAGCUAAUAUAUGAUUGUUUUAGAAGCAGCAAAGAGUUACAAUGUGGAUCAAAAUAUUCAUUAAUGAACUUAGAGUAGUUUCUAAUAUUGUUGAUCACAUGCCAUUGUGUUGUGAUAACAAUAGAACCACAGCGAAAGCGAAGGAACUGAUGUCUCAUCAAUGAUCCAAACAUGUAUUAAGGCGGUAUAAUCUCAUCAGAGAGAUAAUACAUAGAAAUGACCAAAGAAGAGAACGAAUUUCCACAUUUGACAAUAUAGUAGAUCCACUGACAAAGAGUUGUCGUAGCAUAAAUAUAAUCUUCAUGUAGACUCUUAUGAUAUUGGAUGCAUAAGUGAUUGGAUCUAGUGCAAGUGGGAGUUUGUAAGUGUUAUGCCCUAGGUCCAAUCAACCUUGGAAUAAAUACUUUUGAUAUAUAAUUAAUGCAAUUUAAUAGUAGAUUUAUUAUUUAAUUAAUAAACAAUUAAAUUAAAUAAUAGAGUCCGUAAAUUCAAAUUUUCGUAAUUGUUAAUCACAAAGAGUUGUGAUUGUUAGAUACAAAUUACAUAUGAUUGAAUCUUAAAUCGUCCGUGGUCGUAAGUAAUGACGAGAUACGGACAUCGUUAUUACGGAUAAACCAUCACAUGUGGCAUUUCUUACUUGUGAAGUAAGUAGCCGAUCUCACAAGUUAAAGUGUGGUGACAUUUAAAUGAACACGUGGAGGUUUUGUUAUAAAACAAAACAUUGGAGACCGGCCAAGAGAUUCUACAUGGAUAACUAUCUGAGUGUCAGUGGUUAAUCUCUAUCAUUCGAUAGUGAAAUUGAUCAUUUGACUUGAGGUCGUCAUGGUACCUUAUAUGAGGACAGUCAUACUUUGAUAAUGUUGGAUGUUGCUUUGCAAAGGGCAGCUAAUAUGACAUUGUUCGGGUACGUCAAGAAUCGUAUGAAGGUUGUGAUUGACCAAUAAAGGAUUCGUCACUCUUAGAUAGUAGGAGAUUAUGAUCUGCGUUCAUUCAAUUAAGUCGAUGAUGAAAUCCUUGGUCAAGGUGUACUCAUAAGUCAAAAAGAAGUUUUCGACUUAUAUUGACUUAAUAGUGGAGUGAAAGAUAUUAUCGAUAAUCGAGAUUGACACAUUUUCAUAUCUCAUAAUUGAUCAGAUCAUAUUGACAAAGGGAUUAUAGUUUCACGGUAAACGAACGAGUUUAGUUUUGUCAUACCAUAUGACAUUUUUCGUCAUAUGUAUUGACCUGACACAUUGUUAGAUGUCAAUCUGGAAAGGCAAGUGUAAAUUGGUAAUAAAUUAAAAUGGGUGUUUUAAUUUAUCAUUUUGAUUAGAUCAAAAUAAUAUUUCACGUCGUUAGGCAUAGUGAUCGGGAACCUGAUGGGUCGCACACAAAAGGAGAAUUGAAAUGUUAUAAUUUAUCAAUUAAUUAAUUUAACAAGCGUUGGAUAAAUUAAUUAAUUGGGUUGCUAUUUAUAGGUCCGAAUUAAUUAAUUAGAUUAAUUAUUUCAUGGACCGAAUUUAAUUAAAUGUUGGACCGGAUCAGGCCAAGCCCGUUCGGGCAUAUAUAGAUAUGAUUAGGGUUUUCAAAAUUGUAGAGAUUUUCAUCAUUCUUGCUAGCACAAGAAGAAAACCCUAAUGCUGCAAUCUUGUUCUCUGUGUAGAUCACCGUUGGAGGUUGGACAAUUGGAUAGCUGUGGAAGACAGAUCCAAGUUGCUGGAAUAAAGAUAUGACAAAGUAGUUUGCAGAUCUUGUAAAGGUACAUUUUUAUCACAAUUUCUAUCUAAAUACAAAGGCGAUUCUUGGUGGGAAUCGUAAUCUAUUUUAAUUUUCCAUUACGCAUAUUAAGUAGAUUCCCAAUAGGUUCCACAAGUUAACUUUCCGGAGGUACACUCUAAAUUCAAUAAUAGCCUUAUUAUUUAGGUUUAAUUCUUAACUCUGGUUUCUUUUACAUUUAAUUUUUUAUAGCUUUUUUUGUAGUAAAUUAUAGAAGCUUGAAAUUUAAAAGUCCGUUUUCUGUAAAAUUAGAAUUAAGGGGUUCUAAAAGACCCUAGUUGAUUUCACUACAAUCAGCUGUGAGUGAUCAUUUAAGUAUUGAUGCAUCAAAAUCCCAAAAGACUAUUCCCAAGGUCACUAUUUUUUUUUCUUUAUUCAGUUUGGUGUUGUAGUGUUUGUUAGCGUGGUUAUAAGUAAUUAUUGUAUUAUGCAUGAUGGGUUUUCCUUGAAUUAUAGGACAUUGUUAAGGAAAGUGAGUUUCUUGGGUUAUUUGACAAGGAGAGAAGGGAAGAUUAUCUAGUAAAUACUGUUUAGGUUUGGCACUAAUUUUUUAAGUUUGCUUUUCUGGUGUAUUGUCUACAUUGGUGAAUGAUUUAACACUUCUUCUCUCAUUUAGGUCAUACCUUACAUUAUCGAUGCCAUGCAAGAGUGGAUUGAAUGUGUAGUGCUUGUACCGGUGGAUGGAAAUGAGGGUCCAUCUAAUGUUUGUGUCAUAGAAUUGGGUGGCACUAUUAGUAUGAAAGGUGUUUCACUUGUAUUAGAAUAAACUGUUUUUAACGUUGGUUUAUUCUAAAAAUAUCUUUCAUUAUGCACAGGGACGGAGCUAGGAAAUUUCUUCAUGCGGGCGCAAUUUAAUCGAUGUCAAACUUUGAAUUUUCGGUCAUGGAUUUAAUUACGAAAAAAUAUAAAACAAUAUCAAGAAAGUACUAAAAAUGACAGAGUUCAUAAGUUACAAUUAUUCCUUACGAAUUUUCAUACUUUAAUAUCG